ACCUCGUUGUGGAUAAGCUUGACC
rnacentral:siRNA from 1 species